rnacentral:lncRNA from 1 species
AGGAAAGGUCAAUGAUUUGAGAUCCUUCUAGAACCCGGUUACUAUUCUAAGACAGGUUGAACCAACCAAACUUCAGUGGAGGGUAUUUACCUAUGGAACUCACGCAAGCCUUAAAACCUAGGAAUGAUUGUUGUGUGACUUGCUUGUGCUUGUUAUUAUCUAACAACAUGACAUCAUAAACAACAUAACAUCAUAACAUCAUGGCAUUGUACUAACCAUUUCAAGGAUUUAGGGAUUUAACUCUGCUAAAAAAAAAAAACAGAAAAAACAAAAACAAAAGCAAAAACAAAAGAGAAAAGAAAAAAAAAAGCUCUUUUUGGUAGUUUAUGCAAAGUUAAAUCCCGAAAGUCCUUGAAAACAUUUCAUACAUUGCAUUGCAUCGCAUAACAGGUAUUCUAAAGGAUCAGUGUUCUCACGAUUUUCCAUCAAACAGAUUCCAGCAGAUUCAAACAGAUUGAACAAUGGCUCUCGAACAAACUGUCAAAGAUCUCCAGGCCCAGAAUGCUCAAUCCAGGAAAUGAUGCUGAGCUUAUCUAAGGGGCAGGAAGAA